GCGUUAUCCGGAUUCACUGGGUUUAAAGGGUGCGUAGGUGGGGAUGUAAGUCAGUCGUGAAAUCUCCAUGCUUAACAUGGAAACUGCCAUUGAUACUAUGUUUCUUGAAUUUUCCGGAGGUUAGCGGAAUAUGUCAUGUAGCGGUGAAAUGCUUAGAUAUGACAUAGAACACCAAUUGCGAAGGCAGCUAACUACAGGGAUAUUGACACUGAGGCACGAAAGCGUG
rnacentral:rRNA from 1 species